CAUGUCUAAAAGUAUAAGCAAUCAUACUGUGAAACUGCGAAUGGCUCAUUAAAUCAGUUAUCGUUUAUUUGAUAGUACCUUACUACUUGGAUAACCGUGGUAAUUCUAGAGCUAAUACAUGCUAAAAACCUCGACUUCGGAAGGGGUGUAUUUAUUAGAUAAAAAACCAAUGCCCUUCGGGGCUCCUUGGUGAUUCAUAAUAACUUAACGAAUCGCAUGGCCUUGCGCCGGCGAUGGUUCAUUCAAAUUUCUGCCCUAUCAACUUUCGAUGGUAGGAUAGUGGCCUACCAUGGUUUUAACGGGUAACGGGGAAUUAGGGUUCUAUUCCGGAGAGGGAGCCUGAGAAACGGCUACCACAUCCAAGGAAGGCAGCAGGCGCGCAAAUUACCCAAUCCCAAUUCGGGGAGGUAGUGACAAUAAAUACUGAUACGGGGCUCUUUCGGGUCUUGUAAUUGGAAUGAGUACAAUUUAAAUCCCUUAACGAGGAACAAUUGGAGGGCAAGUCUGGUGCCAGCAGCCGCGGUAAUUCCAGCUCCAAUAGCGUAUAUUAAAGUUGUUGCAGUUAAAAAGCUCGUAGUUGAACCUUGGGCCUGGCUGGUCGGUCCGCCUAAUCGCGUGCACGGAUUCGGUCGGGUCUUUCCUUCUGGGGAGCCCUAUGCCCUUCACUGGGUGUAGUGGGGAACCAGGACUUUUACUUUGAAAAAAUUAGAGUGUUCAAAGCAGGCCUUUGCUCGAAUACAUUAGCAUGGAAUAAUAGAAUAGGACGUGCGGUUCUAUUUUGUUGGUUUCUAGGACCGCCGUAAUGAUUAAUAGGGAUAGUCGGGGGCAUCAGUAUUCAAUUGUCAGAGGUGAAAUUCUUGGAUUUAUUGAAGACUAACUACUGCGAAAGCAUUUGCCAAGGAUGUUUUCAUUAAUCAGUGAACGAAAGUUAGGGGAUCGAAGACGAUCAGAUACCGUCGUAGUCUUAACCAUAAACUAUGCCGACUAGGGAUCGGACGGUGGUUUUUUUUAUGCCCCGUUCGGCACCUUACGAGAAAUCAAAGUUUUUGGGUUCGGGGGGGGAGUAUGGUCG
rnacentral:rRNA from 1 species